CUCAAAAGUCUUUGGAUCUUUCAUUUGUUGCUAGAGCAGUGGGCCUAGGAUGGUACCUGACACCCAGAAGGCACCUAAUAAAUGGUUAUGGAAUUGAUGGGUAGCCAAAGAGAUGUCAUUUAACCUUGGCGAUAGAAGCAGACCUGGUCUCUUAGGCCAAGAAUAAGGAAUGGAGGCUCAGCAGAGUUCCAGGGCUUGACCCAAUCAGCACAACAUUACCUUUGAACAGGAACAUCUGCAGGGACCCCUCUUCCAUUUGAACUCAUAGCUGGAUGCCUUCCAUCAGAAUAGCAGACAACUUUGACCUCAUGCCUUAGAUUGGUUCUCACGCUUGAUUUUUUGAAAGUUGAAGUGUCAUUCUUUUCAAUUCUUUGAACAUGGUGGAUUUGGACCAACUACCACAUGAGCUAAACCUUGCCAAGUUCAUUGCUAAAGCAAGAGGGGAUGGUAUCAAGAUGUGCUGUAACUGGAAACACUAUUUAAUAAUCAUUCAAAGCACCUGUUGUCCUAC